AUAAAAGAGGAUAAAAGAAGAGGCUAUCCCAAUAAUGUUAAUGUUUGCUUCUGGGGCGCCCUCUGAGGUCACGGGGCUGAGGAGACACCGCUGGAGCAGAAGGUUGGAAACUGGACGUCUUCAACAGUCUUGAGUGCCGUCUGUGACAGGCCUACUAAGUGCCAGGUGCUGGGUUAAGUGCCAAAAUGAGGAAAUGAGGAAGCCGUGGGGGGAAGGGACAGGCUCUGCCCCCGGAGGGGUGUCAGGGAAGGAACCACAUGUGUAAACAGCUCCAGCUAGGAGGGGUAAACAAAGCAGCAGGCUCAGAGGAAUGAGGGUUUAACUCUGCCUGAGGCAGCUGGGGAGGGCCGUGAGGAGAGGGGGCUGAGCACCCUGCGGAGAAGCAGGAGAAAUUUGGAGGGAGAGGUGUGAGGGGGCCCUCCUAGGCUGAGGAGGAGCGCUGGCUUAAUUUGUGGGGACACUUCUCUAAGAUCACACCCCCUGGGGACCUGUGAGAAAGCCCCUUCCUCCUGAGUUGUCAUUGAAUUGCUGC
rnacentral:lncRNA from 1 species